rnacentral:tRNA from 1 species
UGGCUUAGUGGUUAAGCACUUGGCUGCUAACCGGAAGGUCAGUGGUUCAAAUCCACC